UCUGUGCUCUUGGCUUGGUCUUGGGUCCUGCUGGCAGCUUGAUUUGAUGGCUGAGUGUUUGUGUUUGUAGGAAUGAAAAGGCAGCUCCGCUCCCCUCCGACCCCUCGUUAACCAGGGACAGCAGUGACCCUGUAACCCCGAGCCAAGAGCCACCCGGCAGCGUGGGAACAGACCCACACAGGAUUAUGGGAAAGGAGGUUAAAGAGGAACAAAAUCGUCUGAAGGGGUUUACGGCCGGGAGAGACGCGGAGCGCUACGGGAAGCCCUCAGACAGCCGGGAUGCAGGAGAGAUGGCAGCCCUCAAACUCCACACGGCCUCUGAAAGGUGACAUUUUCACUUCGGAAAAAAUUUUGCACACAUGCAAAUUAAAGAUGCACGCUAAAUAGAGGUUCUGUGUUUGGCUUUACAGCGGGAACGCGCCGAGGCCCGAGUCCAGUGGCCACACACCGCUCCACACACAACUCCAGAAGUUCACCGUUUCUGCAGACAAGGUGCCUAUUUAUUACUUCACCAUUACACAAGAGUUACACAAUCGCUUAUGCUGCGAAAAGACCCACUGAGUCCAGUCAGAGCAGAACAGAGGAGCUCUUCCCCGCUUCACUGCGGAUCAGCUGAGAGUUCGGAUUCCUCCAGAAUAUACUCAUGAGAGGUUGAUCGAUGGGUCUUUGCUAAUUGCUUGAGGAUCUGCUAGUGUAUGUAACUUCCAGGAAUUGUUCUGGCUUGAAAACACCGCCAGCAGCUUCUGAACGCAGUCUGGGCCGAGCAGCCAGUGGUUCAGAGGUCAGCCAGCUCUAAAUAAGGAUUUCUUCCUGUUAGAAUUGUCUCCUGUUUUUUCAUUGAAUGUAACACCUCGGUUCUGUUCUAAAAUCAGUGAGCUGUAUAGAAAGCAUUUAGGCAGAAUAGGCAUAGUAGGUCCGCUUGUGACAAUUAAUACAAGUAGUUAUUAAUCAGACUUUUAAAAUAAUAAUAAUAAUUAUCAUUAUAUAAUAAUAAUAAUAAUAAUGUACAUAUACAUAUAAUUAGAUUUGUUAUACUGAUAAAUGUUAUAAAAUUACUGUAAUUAUCAAAUUUUAUAAGCAUUAUAAACAUUAUAAUUUAGUAGUGAUCAAUAAUAAUAAUAAUAAUAAUAAUAACUAUUGAAAUUCUACUUUGUUUAUUAUUAAUUAGAAAUCAGACUUAAAAUAUUAUUUUUUAUUAAUUUCGCAUUAAUUUAAAGUCCCCAUGAAAUCAAAAUUUAAAUUUUUCAGCUUUUAUUAUAAAAUUAUAAAUGUAAUUAUUAUUUUAUAAUAUUUUUAAUAUACAUUUAAUAAUUUUAUUUUCUGAAAUUAU
rnacentral:lncRNA from 12 species